GAUAGGUUCAAUCAAACCUCCAAACUCACCUCGAAUCACUCAGUAAAUAGACCCCAUUCUGAUGUUUUCUACCGCCAAACAAGGGAGACAAAAGCUGCUGCUCUUAAUUCACAGAUGAGAAAUGGGCAAAGCAUUCCAUUCAUUCCUUUUCUUAUGAUGACUGAUUGCAAAAGGCUUCCUUGCACAUGUUCUGCUGAGAUGAGGAGGAGGAGGAGGAGAAGGAAGAGAAAAUGGAACAGUGAGCCACAGACGGCUAAUCACGUCCGGAACCAAAAGCACCUGCCCUAUCUGCCUCUACAUUUG